rnacentral:misc_RNA from 1 species
AACCAUUCUCACCUGCGGCUAGACCUGCGGAGGGAUCAUUACCGAGUGUGAACCCCCCCGUAAAAAAGAGGGGUUACCUCCCGUCCUUUGCUGGGAACCCCUUUCCAACUUGGAAGGAGGUUGUUUUCAGACCCUUCUGCUUCGGUGGGGUAACCCACCGGAACAACCUCAAAAAUAUUCUCAAUUCAAAACCGUUCAGUCCGAGAACUUUCUUGAAAAGCGAAAAAACUUUCAACAAUG